GAACAUUUCUUGUGCUAAGAGACACUUAUUUAUAGUAAGAGACACUUCUGUCCUAUAAUCAGAGACCACAUUCACACAAACCUAGGACCAUUUUACAGAUUUUCUUUUUU